rnacentral:rRNA from 1 species
GGUCCGAUGCUUAUUGCACCACAUGUGUUUUUCUUUGAAACAAACUUGCUUUGGCGGUGGGCCCAGCCUGCCGCCAGAGGUCUAAACUUACAACCAAUUUUUUAUCAACUUGUCACACCAGAUUAUUACUUAAUAGUCAAAACUUUCAACAACGGAUCUCUUGGUUCUCGCAUCGAUGAAGAACGCAGCGAAAUGCGAUACGUAAUAUGAAUUGCAGAUAUUCGUGAAUCAUCGAAUCUUUGAACGCACAUUGCGCCCUCUGGUAUUCCGGAGGGCAUGCCUGUUUGAGCGUCGUUUCUCCCUCAAACCGCUGGGUUUGGUGUUGAGCAAUACGACUUGGGUUUGCUUGAAAGACGGUAGUGGUAAGGCGGGAUCGCUUUGACAAUGGCUUAGGUCUAACCAAAAACAUUGCUUGCGGCGGUAACGUCCACCACGUAUAUCUUCAAACUUUGACCUCAAAUCAGGUAGGACUACCCGCUGAACUUAAGCAUAUCAAAAGGGCGGGAGGAA